GUAGGUGGCAAGCGUUGUCCGGAAUUAUUGGGCGUAAAGCGCGCGCAGGCGGUCCUUUAAGUCUGAUGUGAAAGCCCACGGCUCAACCGUGGAGGGUCAUUGGAAACUGGGGGACUUGAGUACAGAAGAGGAAAGCGGAAUUCCAAGCGUAGCGGUGAAAUGCGUAGAGAUUUGGAGGAACACCAGUGGCGAAGGCGGCUUUCUGGUCUGUAACUGACGCUGAGGCGCGAAAGCGUGGGGAGCAAACAGGAUUAGAUACCCUGGUAGUCCACGCCGUAAACGAUGAGUGCUAAGUGUUAGGGGGUUUCCCGCCCCCCUUAGUGCUGCAGCUAACGCAUUAAGCACUCCGCCUGGGGAGUACGGCCGCAAGGCUG
rnacentral:rRNA from 1 species